UCUCAGUCGACUACUCAUUAUCUAGAGUAAUGGGAAAACACGUUGAAGAAGUAUAAAGUGGGAUCAUUAUGCAGUUUGAAAUCGAAUAUUAUUAUCAAUGUUAUAAUUCACGAUAUAUAUAUAAUUCACUUGGAUCGCCAUGGGUUGUUCUUUAGGAAAAAGCAUCCGAAUGUUCGGAAAAAUAUCCAAGGUUGGCUGGCACAUAGGGAAGGAUCUGGAUGCGCGUUUAUUUACGUACGCAAGAGGGAAACGAGCAGCCGAUCGCCGAAAAUCUAUGCUGCUGCUGCUGCCUCUCUUAUGAACGGUAGAAAUUAGCUGCAUCGAUUUCUUAUAAAAUCGUUGUUAUCACGUGCG
rnacentral:lncRNA from 1 species